AGGAGCUGACAGCCAUGUGCCAUGCAGGGCUGAGAGUCUGUAGGAUUUCAUUCUAACGAAGAACUACAUCAGAGGAUCCUGUUGGGGAAGCCCUUCCUACAGAUCCUGAUGCCUUCCAGCACACCGUUACAGCGCAGCUGGUGCAUCACCAGAGGGUUCUCCAUGGCCCCAGGAGUCUUGGUCUCAUUGGGGAUGAUGCAGCGUACAAAGUGAGGUCUCUUGGCAGAUAACCACUGAGGAACAAGGUCAUAAAAGAGCAAGAGCAACAUGUGGUGUCAGACAAGUGUCAGGUUUAUCCACCCUUGCCUUUGCUACAACUGACACUACAAGAAACUUUGCUGCUCAAGGCUCAUCAAGUAUGUUACUGUGAAUACAGAGUGAACUAAACCACUGGAGAUCCCAAAGGUCUUAGAAGGCCGUCUGUGAGAUUCACUCCUCAUCUAGCCCUUUCUGUGAUGAAGAAUGAUAAGAGAGUAGAAAGAGAGACAAUUAUCAGUGAGAGUGGACUGUAGAGGAUCCUGUUGGGGAAGCCCUUCCUACAGAUCCUGAUGCCUUCCAGCACACCGUUACAGCGCAGCUGGUGCAUCACCAGAGGGUUCUCCAUGGCCCCAGGAGUCUUGGUCUCAUUGGGGA